AAGACUAUAGACCUGCGGAGUACCUGCGGAAGGAUCAUUACCGAGUUUUCAACUCCCAAACCCCAUGUGAACUUAUACCAUUUACAACCGUUGCUUCGGCGGGUUCUCGCCCCGGGCUUUACACCCCGGAACCAGGCGGCCCGCCGGGGGACCCAAACUCUAGAUUUAUAUUUUAGCAUGUCUGAGUGGAAUCAUUACAAAAUGAAUCAAAACUUUCAACAACGGAUCUCUAGAUCGGAA
rnacentral:misc_RNA from 1 species